UACGUAGGGUGCGAGCGUUAAUCGGGAUUACUGGGCGUAAAGCGUGCGCAGGCGGUUUUGUAAGUCUGACGUGAAAUCCCCGGGCUUAACCUGGGAAUUGCGUUGGAGACUGCAAGGCUGGAGUCUGGCAGAGGGGGGUAGAAUUCCACGUGUAGCAGUGAAAUGCGUAGAUAUCAGGAGGAAUACCGAUGGCGAAGGCAGGUCUCUGGGCUGAUACUGACGCUCAUGCACGAAAGCGUGGGGAGCAAACAGG
rnacentral:rRNA from 1 species